rnacentral:rRNA from 1 species
GAGAGUUUGAUCCUGGCUCAGGACGAACGCUGGCGGCGUGCUUAACACAUGCAAGUCGAACGGAAAGGCCCUUCGGGGGUACUCGAGUGGCGAACGGGUGAGUAACACGUGGGUGAUCUGCCCUGCACUUUGGGAUAAGCCUGGGAAACUGGGUCUAAUACCGGAUAUACCUCAUGGGCUGCAUGGUUUGUGAGGGAAAGCUUUUGCGGUGUGGGAUGGGCCCGCGGCCUAUCAGCUUGUUGGUGGGGUGAUGGCCUACCAAGGCGACGACGGGUAGCCGGCCUGAGAGGGUGACCGGCCACACUGGGACUGAGAUACGGCCCAGACUCCUACGGGAGGCAGCAGUGGGGAAUAUUGCACAAUGGGCGCAAGCCUGAUGCAGCGACGCCGCGUGAGGGAUGACGGCCUUCGGGUUGUAAACCUCUUUCAGCAGGGACGAAGCGCAAGUGACGGUACCUGUAGAAGAAGGACCGGCCAACUACGUGCCAGCAGCCGCGGUAAUACGUAGGGUCCGAGCGUUGUCCGGAAUUACUGGGCGUAAAGAGCUCGUAGGUGGUUUGUCGCGUUGUUCGUGAAAACUCACAGCUCAACUGUGGGCGUGCGGGCGAUACGGGCAGACUUGAGUACUGCAGGGGAGACUGGAAUUCCUGGUGUAGCGGUGGAAUGCGCAGAUAUCAGGAGGAACACCGGUGGCGAAGGCGGGUCUCUGGGCAGUAACUGACGCUGAGGAGCGAAAGCGUGGGGAGCGAACAGGAUUAGAUACCCUGGUAGUCCACGCCGUAAACGGUGGGUACUAGGUGUGGGUUUCUUCCUUGGGAUCCGUGCCGUAGCUAACGCAUUAAGUACCCCGCCUGGGGAGUACGGCCGCAAGGCUAAAACUCAAAGAAAUUGACGGGGGCCCGCACAAGCGGCGGAGCAUGUGGAUUAAUUCGAUGCAACGCGAAGAACCUUACCUGGGUUUGACAUGCACAGGACGCUGGUAGAGAUAUCAGUUCCCUUGUGGCCUGUGUGCA